rnacentral:misc_RNA from 1 species
GGGAAUCAAUGGCGUUUUCGGCAAAAACUUCCCAAAUCAGCCCAAGAUUUUCGACUUUACUGGGGACGUGACAAACAUUUCACAAUACACAACUCAAGGGACAAAGGUUAUACCUAUAGAAUAUGGUGAAAAGGUUGAGCUUGUGUUCCAAGGGACUGCUAUUCAGUCCCCGGAGAAUCAUCCCAUGCAUCUUCAUGGUUUUAGCUUCUAUUUGGUCGGAAUUGGUACAGGGAAUUUCAGUAAGUCUGACAU